CCAUCUAUUCCACAUGUGCACUUAAAGAUAAUUAGGAGAUAAAGAAGAGAUAAUGUUAGGAUAAUUAUGCCAACUAAUUGACUUAAUCAAAUCCUCUUAGGCUCAUAAUUAAGAGUCGAAUUAAAUCCAAAUGGAUUUAGGUUAGGUUCAAGGCUAUGGACUUGAUCAAAUCAAAGUUUUGAAAAGAAUUAGGUUUAACCGUGUGCUAGCAUAGUUCUCAUAAACGUAAUAGGAUUUCAAUAAAUACUAAUCCAAUUAAAACUUCAUAAGCCCACUUGGCAAAUUUGAGAUUAAAUCUCUUAAUGUGUGACCCCAUAGGUUCUAUUCUACUGGUAGUGAGAUAUAUUAUGAUCUCCAUCAUAAUAUCAUUAAAACUUUUUUCGAUGGAUUGAAAUAUUUUUAAUUCUAUCCUUCGAGGGCUAUCGAUCAUCAAGAUGACGCCUGAUGAGUCUCAUAAGCCACC
rnacentral:lncRNA from 1 species